GGUCUCAUUGCUUUGAAAGUAACCACUGGCCAUUGGAUGGACUCCAGAUUCUGAAUUAGGACAUCCAGGGCUGGCCUGAACCUCUCAUAUACAUAUAGGAAGAAAGGCUUCUACAAAUGUGGGAGUCCUAGGUCAGGGGCCUUCCUAACUCAGAUUUUAGGGUUUCAUAUGCUUGCUGACAGGCUUCUACCCAGUGGGAUAAUUGGUUUUCUCCACUCUUGAGUGGGUUUAAGUAUGAGGCCAAAGUUUAGGAUCUAAACCCAGCAGAAGCCAGCCAUCUGCAGAAAUCCGUGCAGCUCUCUUCUACUACCAGGGACUAGUAGUGAAGCAAUGGCCUGCUUUCAGUCUGGGGCAAGCAUCCUGGCUUCUGGGGCCUCCGCUAUCCACGUCACCUGAGGUGUCUUGG
rnacentral:lncRNA from 1 species